UGCAAGUCGAGCGCAGGAAACCAGAUGACCCCUUCGGGGUGAUUCUGGUGGAAUGAGCGGCGGACGGGUGAGUAACACGUGGGCAACCUGCCUGUAAGACUGGGAUAACUUCGGGAAACCGGAGCUAAUACCGGAUAGUAUUUCCUUUCUCCUGAUUGGAAAUGGAAAGACGGUUUCGGCUGUCACUUACAGAUGGGCCCGCGGUGCAUUAGCUAGUUGGUGGGGUAAUGGCCCACCAAGGCGACGAUGCAUAGCCGACCUGAGAGGGUGAUCGGCCACACUGGGACUGAGACACGGCCCAGACUCCUACGGGAGGCAGCAGUAGGGAAUCUUCCGCAAUGGACGAAAGUCUGACGGAGCAACGCCGCGUGAGCGAUGAAGGCCUUCGGGUCGUAAAGCUCUGUUGUUAGGGAAGAACAAGUACGAGAGUAACUGCUCGUACCUUGACGGUACCUAACCAGAAAGCCCCGGCUAACUACGUGCCAGCAGCCGCGGUAAUACGUAGGGGGCAAGCGUUGUCCGGAAUUAUUGGGCGUAAAGGGCUCGUAGGCGGUUUCUUAAGUCUGAUGUGAAAGCCCACAGCUCAACUGUGGAGGGUCAUUGGAAACUGGGGAACUUGAGUGCAGAAGAGGAGAGUGGAAUUCCACGUGUAGCGGUGAAAUGCGUAGAUAUGUGGAGGAACACCAGUGGCGAAGGCGACUCUCUGGUCUGUAACUGACGCUGAGGAGCGAAAGCGUGGGGAGCAAACAGGA
rnacentral:rRNA from 1 species